rnacentral:lncRNA from 1 species
UUCCCUUCCUAAAUGCAUACAAACAGAUACCCAGAACUCUGCUAAUGGAUAUUCUGAUUUAUGAGACUUAAAAUGGACACUUUCCCUAGAUAGACAUAUUCUUCUGGCUCUUGUUUUAGCUAGCAGAGGGUUGCUCCAUGACUCUCCCUUUCAAGCCCCAAAACACAGUGGUCCCCCACUCAGGCAGAGGCAGUCCUAUAUGACCCCACAUAGCUUAGCUUGUCAAGUAAAAAAUGGGCAGGAUAUCAACGCCCUCUCCCCUGCUUUGGCAGGGACUUUGGAUCAGUGAAAAACUGCACAUCUGUACACUCAAUCCUUGGGAAACUGUCUUCUUGAUAUUCUUACAUAUCUCUUUUCCCUUCCAUGUUUAAGAAUGUAUAGUUAAGAAAAAUGACCCUACCUAUAAAUAUGUACUUCAUUUCUGUUUCCAAAAAUUGCUUUCCCAGUAAUAGUAAUAAACUCAGGAGAAAAUUUACUUGGAAAUGAAUGAGAAUUUCUUGAACAUCAGAAUAACAAAAUACUGAAACAAUACCUUGGUAAAUGUAACAACAAAACACUUUACCAAACAUUGCAGCUGAAGUCUAGGUCUAAAUUAAAUAAUCUGCUUAGAUAGAUCCUUCCCUCUUAUGAUUUUGUUACCUAGAUAUACUGCAGUCUAUCACACUAUGUUAGAAAUGAGGGAGCUGUAGCUGUUUUGAAUGUGUCUGAGCUAGCUCUGGGGACAAGUGUUUUGAUUAUAGGUAAAAGGGAGAUUUUUCAAAAAAUUAAUAUCUCUAGUCUUUUGUAUAUUCUAGUGCAAUGUUAACAUUUUAUUUGGAUAAUGUCAAUCUCUGUAUUGAGUUUGUUCAGUUUUACUAUUAUAUUAAAAUGGUUUUUGGAGAGCUUUACAAUUUACAUUUUUCCUGUAAGAAAUUUAAAAGAGAGAAAAGUGCAAAAACAACUACUUGAGAUUGGAUAAGUAUAUAUGGGUGAUUUUCUGAUUAUAUUUUUAAAAUAUUUUCCCCAGAUUCAUGUACAUACCUGGAUAAACUAACUACACAUAUUUAUUAUGUAUAUUUUAAACAGGAGGAAUACCAUUAAAGUCCAUGGAGUAAAUAUAUAGUCAUUUUGUAAAUUAUUUAUCUGGAAACCUCAAGAGCUUUUUGCUGCUGUUUCAUCUGUCAGUUAAAUUUGUUUUAGUGGUAUAAGUAAUAGUUAUGUGAUAUUAUUAUACCAAGUAGCCAUGAAAAUAUGUACAAUUUACUUGUAAGAAUGAUCAAAUAAAUAAAGACAUACAGGUCUAUCCUCUCUUGAUCAAUGCAUGUAACUCAGCAAAUGCUUAUUUUUUUAUGUGAAAAUGUACACCCUAGUUUAACAUAUGCUUUUUUAUUUAUUUAAAAAUGAAUUAUAUUUAGCAUUUUUAAAGGUUGUAGGCAUUUAUAUUCUCAUACAUUCUUAACAUAAUUGAGUUUAGAGAAUUUUGUAGAUUCCUAAAACUACUUAUUAUUGAAGUAUCAUGAAAAAUAAUGAAGCAACUUAAACAUGCUUUUUAAUGCAGCAACAAAAAUACAUAGAGAUGAUGCAUUUAUAAUAAUAUGUUUUAAAUGAAUAAACUUAAGACUUAUGGGUACCCUCUUUGUUAACUUAAGAUAAAAUUUGCAAUUAUAUAUUAAAUCUUUCCCUAAAAGAUAUAAAAUUUGAGAUAUGUAACAAAUCACAGGCUCUUCUACAGAAAGCUUGUAUAAGAUAAUUUACAAAUCUGUAUUUUGACUUAGUACUUGAGCAACUAUAGAAAAUUUGUCUUGGAGUCUCAUUUCUUAUAGUUUUCCCUUUCUUACCAAAUCAUAUGAUUUUCAGGUCAGGAAGAUAGACUGAACUUACCCAGAAACAUCCCCAUUCCAAACACAGAAAUAAUAAAAUAGCUUUAAGAAGAAUCUCCAAAUACGUUAUAUAAAUGGUGAUACCAAUUACAUAGCUUGCAAUAUGAGUCUGUGGUUCAGGGGAAGAAAUGAGAACUAGAGAUGUAAAUUUGAGAAUCACCAACAAAUAAAUUCUAGUUUUAUCUAUAGAAUAGGAUUUUUAUAUAGAAAAUAAAACUUAGAGAGGAUAACAGGAGCCAGGAUGGAGGCCUGGAUUGAGCCAUAACUCUUUAACAGUUAAUGCUUAGACAGAGGAAGAGGAGGAGGAAGUACGAAGAAUAACCACAGAAACCGAAAAAGAAUAAUAACAACUGGAAUUGGAUAAAAAAAUAAAAUAGGGAGCCAUCAAAAAAAAAAAAAAAUGAAAUGUGUCUCUGCAAGAGGGCGCUUUACUAUGUCAGGGAUUCCUCAGAGGUUGAAGAGGACUGAUUACAGGGACAGAGAACUGACUAUUAGGUGUAGGAGGAUGGAAGUCAGUGGUGAAAUUUACGAGAUCCGUUUCAGUGGGUGCAGAAAGUGUAGAAAGAAGAGCAGUCAUACCCUCAAUCUUUUGUCAAUGUUCAAUACAUGGAAGAUAUAAGUAAUCAUGAAUUUGAGUGAUACCAGUUGAAAUAUAUAAUGUUAUACAUAUAUGCAAUAUAUAAUUAAUUUUGUAUAGAUGUUUGCAACUGCUUGAGUGAAAUUACACGGCGUUAGUUUGCUGGGGCUGCCAUAACAAGAUACCACAGACCAGCUGGCUAAACAUUAGAAAUUUAUUUCUCAAGGUUCUGAAGGCUGAAAGUCCAAGAUCAAGCUGUUUUGAGGGUUGAUUUCUCUUGAGGCCUCUCCCCCUGUCUUGUAGAAGUCUGCCUUCUGCGUCCUCACAGGGCCCUUUCUCUGUGCGUCCAUGUCCCUGGUGUCUUUCUCUCUUUUUAUAAGGAUAUCAGUCUUACUGGAUUAGAACCCCACCCUAUGACCUCAUUUAACCUUAACUGCUUCUUUAAAGGCCUUAUCUUCAAAUGCAGUCAUAUUGGAGGUUAUGGCUUCAAUGUAUGACUAUUGAAGGGAUACAAUUUUAGUCUAUAACCCCACAUAAUUGGUGAAUAGUUUAGCUUACUUGCAGUUGAAUAUACCCCAGUAGCAGAGAAAAGAAAGUAAAUAAAGAAGUAGAGCUUUUUGUAAUGAAUUUGACUAUAGAAUCUAAAUAUAGCAAUGGGCAAGAAAGUUUUGGUGAGCAUAAAAGAUGUUGGUUCAAUGUAUUGAAAUUCUUAAUGAAGAUAGAGAAUUGUUAGAACAGGUAGCAUUACUAUGAUAAUAACAUAUUAACAUUUACAGAAAACAUUUCCUUGUGUCAGCUAGGCUCACAGCAAUUCUGUACGGAAAAACUAUUAUUCCCAUUUUGCAGAUGAGGACACUGAGACACAAUGUGAUUGAGUAACUUGCAAAGGUCACUUAGAAAAUAAGUUAGAAUUUAAAGAAUGUCAGUCUGCUUCCAGAGACCACUCUCUUCACAUAAGCAAGAUCAUUCAGAAAAAGUGUGUAGAGAAGUUCCCAUUAUGGCUCAGCAUUAACGAACUCAGCCAAUAUCCAUGAAGACAUGGGUUUGAUCCCUGCCCUUACUCAGUGGGUUAAGGAUGUGGUGUUGUCAUGAGCUGUGGUGUAGGUCACACACACAGGUCCAAUCUGCUGUUGCUUUCGCUGCACUGUAGGCUGGCAGCUUUAGCUCCAAUUCAACCCCUAGCCUGGGAGCUUCCAUGUGCUGCAAGUGUGGCC